rnacentral:tRNA from 1 species
GUCUGAGUGGCUCAGUCGGUUAAGCGUCUGACUUCGGCUCAGGUCAUGAUCUCAUGGUUCGUGGGUUCAAGCCCCACAUUGGGCU